GCGGACGUGGUGUACGGCGCACCGCUGCAUUCACUUCGUAUCUACGUUCAUUUCAGUUGAGCAGCUAGCCGGGGUUCGACUCCCCGCGUCCGCA